UACAUGGGGUGCAAACGUUUGCUCGGAAUUAUUGGGCGUAAAGCGCGCGUAGGCGGUUACUCAAGUCGGAUGUGAAAGCCCUCGGCUUAACUGAGGAAGUGCACCCGAAACUGAGUAGCUAGAGUACUAAAGAGGGUCGCGGAAUUCCCGGUGUAGAGGUGAAAUUCGUAGAUAUCGGGGAGGAACACCGGUGGCGAAGGCGGCGACCUGGGUAGAUACUGACGCUGAGGCGCGAAAGCGUGGGGAGCGAACAGGG
rnacentral:rRNA from 1 species